AAACCCUUACGAGUAACGAUUAGAGGGCAAGUCUGUGCCAGCAGACCGUCGGUAAUUCCAGCUCUAAUAGCGUAUAUUAAGUUGUUGCAGUUAAAAAGCUCGUAGUUGGAUUUUAGUGGGUUAUUUUUAGAUAAUUGGUCGGAUAGGAAACUAUUCUUGUACUAGUUAUCACCCACUUUUAACUUACUGGUUACUCGACUCUGUACUUUAUUGGAUGGAGUAGUAUCGCAAGGUAUCAUUAAGAGUUAAAUUGCUUGUAAAUGUAGGUUUUGAGGUAAAACUUGGAUUGAAAUUUGCAGGAUCACAGUUUGAUUUUUAAUGGGGUUCCAGUUCAUUUACUUUGAGUAAAUUAGAGUGUUCAAAGCAGCCUCUUGGGGCAUUGAAUAUAUUAGCAUGGGAUAAUAGAAUAGGAUUUCUUCUAUAUUUUGUUGGUUUUAUUAUAGAUUGAAAUAAUGAUUAAUAGGGAUAGUUGGGGGC
rnacentral:rRNA from 1 species